rnacentral:rRNA from 1 species
AUUGAACGCUGGCGGCAUGCCUUACACAUGCAAGUCGAACGGCAUCGCGGGAAAGCUUGCUUUCCUGGCGGCGAGUGGCGAACGGGUGAGUAACACAUCGGAACGUACCGGCUAGUGGGGGAUAACCCGUCGAAAGACGGGCUAAUACCGCAUACGCUCUUCGGAGGAAAGCAGGGGACCUUUGGGCCUUGCGCUAGUCGAGCGGCCGAUGUCCGAUUAGCUAGUUGGUGGGGUAAAGGCCUACCAAGGCGACGAUCGGUAGCGGGUCUGAGAGGACGAUCCGCCACACUGGGACUGAGACACGGCCCAGACUCCUACGGGAGGCAGCAGUGGGGAAUCUUGGACAAUGGGGGCAACCCUGAUCCAGCAACGCCGCGUGGGUGAAGAAGGCCUUCGGGUUGUAAAGCCCUUUCGGCAGGGAAGAAAUCGGCGGGGCGAAUAACCCUGCUGGAUGACGGUACCUGCAGAAGAAGCACCGGCUAACUACGU